UUCUAUCUUUUUUCUUGGUUUUUUUCGUUUAUUUUUUUUUCUUUUAAAUUUUUUUUAUGCUUUUUUUAUUAUUCUUUUUUUAAAUUGGGCUUCUUUUUAAUUUUUUCUUUUUACUUUCUUUUUCUUUUUUCCUUUUUUUUUUUUUUUUUUUUUUUUUUUUUUUUUUUUUUUUUUUUUUUUUUUUUUUUUUUUUUUUUUUUUGAGGGAUAAGAAAUGAGUAGAUAAAAUUAAACUCCUCGCGGUGCCAUUAAAUGGAACCCGGGAUGCGAAACGCCGCGGCUGCGCUCGAAACUUGUCGGGGCUGGAGCAGCGGCUCGGCGGGGCCGGGAAGCGGGAGCGGAGGGCGGCGGGAGCCGGCUCAGGGCCCGUGUGUCCUUCUUUUCCAGGCUCCAGCCGGAUUCCCCCUGGAAGAUCCCGCGAGCCCGGGAUGGGAAUCUCCGCUCCUGAUUGUCCAAACGCAAUUCUUGUGCGAUGGAGCCGUACGAACCAAGAAUUGUGUCUGGACAUCUGUAGCAGAGGUUUCACCUCCUCCGGCGGGGCUCCAGGACGGUUCUCGGGGCACAGGACGGAGGACGGACCUUCCCCGGGCCCGGGGCUUGGCAGGAUUUUGCUGUACCCCUCUUCUCCAUCCCCUUGGCUUCCUUCAUCUUCCCAUUUCUAGCUUUUUUUAGCAGUGAUUGACAGCUUUUACUACAGCAGGAGCUAAGCCACCUGGGUCUAACCUGCACUAUCGAGGGGAAUAACAGCUCCUGGGGAAGGAACCCAUCUUUAUCCGAGCAAACAGCUGGGGGGCAUGAGAACAAGCCCAGCCUAAGACAGAGGCAGGGUAGACAAAGGGCAGGCAGCAGUGCUGAAGAUGAACCUGCUUUUUCCCAUUGUGCUUCAGUCCGUUUCAAGCCACAUGCCACGCAGGUUCCUUGUUCUUCAGCCAGCUUCUACCACCACCUGGAAUCCCCUUCCACUGUCCUGGCCCAGCUAAGCUAAGGGCCAGGAACUCAGGGCAGAGAAGAGCCUUUGGCCCGAAUGUGUACUUACAAAUGGUGUGAGCUGGACUCAAAUUGCUGUGGCUGGAUUUGGAAAAGGCUGAAUAUCGGUUUGUCACCAGCAGUGGGUUGAAGCUGGGGCUCCUCAGAUGCAGAAGCAUCGUAGGCUGUGGGUGCUUGUAGUUACGCAGGUUGUGGAGGGGUAGAGAGAGAGGAAUCAGUGAAGUCAGCUGAGGGAAUCACUCCCUGCAUCAGAGGAAUUCCUCCGUCAGGCGCAGCGCGGGAAAGGCUCCUUGUGCACAGCUCUCGGGUGCUGGCCCAGGCUGCCUGAGCAGGGCCAGCUGCCCCCCGCCUCCUCAGCAGCUCCCGAACAUCGAGGGCUCUUAGAGCAGGACAUGGUGCAGAGCAGCAGUGAGAGGCACCGGCGAGGCCUCUGCUCCACGACAGCCGCGCCUCGGGCAGGAGCUGCUGCGGGACCUCUGCACGCCGCUGGAGCCCGCCCGAAACAGGUGAGCAGGGCAGGGGGGAGCGCAGGACAAGUCCUGGCCAGGCACUCCUGGAAGCUCAUGCAGCAUGUUCAGACCUGCUGGUGCCAAUGCUAUCCUCUCUGAGCCCAUCCCUCCGCUCUUGCUGUAGCCUCCUGGGUGGCAGGAGCCAGUCUGUCUUUCUGAGGAAACUUCUGGAAAGCCAACAAACACCCAUGCCCUAGGAGAACCACACACACCCACUUCCACAGUGCUCACAGGACUUCCUCAGGACAUGCAGCAAGAAACCUCUCCCUCCCGCUGACACAAAGGGUUAAAAGUUCCUGACUUUCUCAGGUCUUGGCACUUUAACUGUGCAUCUCCAGCCCCAGCCCUUCUCCAGCCACACUGCAGCUCCCACCUGCACAGAAUGCAGUGCAGCCCGAUCAAUUCUGUCUAUCACAGUGACAGAAAGAUCAUUUGCUGCCCUGAUCACCCUGUGCUGUCUCAGGCCGGGUGAGGGUUUGUUUUCCCUCCAACCAAAUCAUUAUAAAUUGACAUCAUUCAUGGGCCAGUACUUCACCCUGCCUCAGCUCUGGUACAAAAGCAGCAUGAGGGAUUAGAAAUACAAAACCCAAAAGGCCUAUUUCUCUCCUGCUUCCUAUAAAUAAAUAUCACGACAAGGUGCA
ensembl:lncRNA